UACGUAGGGUGCAAGCGUUACUCGGAAUUACUGGGCGUAAAGGGUGCGUAGGUGGUUUGUUAAGUCUGCUGUGAAAUCCCCGGGCUCAACCUGGGAAUGGCAGUGGAUACUGGCAAGCUAGAGUGCGGUAGAGGGUAGUGGAAUUCCCGGUGUAGCAGUGAAAUGCGUAGAGAUCGGGAGGAACACCAGUGGCGAAGGCGGCUACCUGGACCAGCACUGACACUGAAGCACGAAAGCGUGGGGAGCAAACAGG
rnacentral:rRNA from 1 species